ensembl:lncRNA
UAUCACCCCAGUUGGGACCCAGUGCUCCAGAAAAGAGAGAAAAAAUAAACACCUGUUUUAGUUUUCAUCACAGCCAAAUCUAAGUAGAAGUCAUAGUCUCUGAACCAAAGCAGUUAACUAUUUUUCACGGAUAUAGUAUGCUAUAUAAUAACCACGGGUGGCACUGCUGUUUCUGAUUCUAAAACACCUUGGAAACUUUCUUGACAUCUGCAGCACUCUGCUACUCAAAAGGGUGCAUUGGGGGAGCAUACAAGGCAAAAGAUAGGCAUUGGUACCUAUUAAAUAAGAGCUAGGAGAAAAGGAAUUACAGUCAAAACCCUCUUAAGACAUUUUCAAAGGAGCAGCCAUUAAAACUUCUAAACCAGGAAAUCAUCCUUGGAGAGAAAUGGAAAAUCACAGCCUAAAGCCCCAUCAGUCACUGCAUCCAUCUUCACAUCCAGGACCUCCAGGUGAUGCUCAGACAUCCAGUCAGGAUGUGGUGAUCGAAGAACAAUAAAGGCAAAUUAUCUACACCCCAUCUCCACUUAAUAGAACAUGGAGGAGCAAGGACAAGUUAAUUGGAAUAUACUUUCUGUCAUAGUCUGGCUCCCCAGGAAGCAGACUUUGAGACAGAAUUUACCAUGCAGGAGGUUUGUCAGGAAGGGCCCUUCCUGUGGAAGUAAAGGGAAGAAAGCAGUCUCAACACAGUCCUCAGCCAACGCCAUGAUGAAGCUGGGGAGCCUUUCAGAAUUGCCCCAAGGUAGGGCGAGGAGGCUGGACCUUUAUACCUGAGGUUGACCCGUUAUUGAAUUUGGAUACUCUGGAAAGGGGCAUGACCUUGGACAAAGUGUGAAGCAACUCUCUUGGGCUGAGACAGUUAUUAAAAAGUAUUGUCUGAAGGCUGCAUUCAGCAUUCCCAAGAGCUGGGGAAUUAAAUUCUUCAGUCCUGUAGUGGAAUCCAGAAGGUGCAUCACAGUGACUGCUACAAAUUGCUGUUUAGGAAAGGGUGUGACACCACAGUAAUUGGUCUGUAACAGCACUGGGAAUUCUGGAAGUUUCUUUUCCCUAUAGGAGGAGAAGUUAUUCGAUGAGGUCUCUUGGAGGAACUUCUUUCCAUUUUUCUCCAUGGUUCUGCCCUUUGGGGAAGUUUUCCUUGUUUAUUAUCUUCUAUGUGUGUAUCUGAAGUGGGUGGUGUGGAGACUUCCCUCCUUGGGGCUGUGUACGUUUUGAAGACAUCUUCCUGUUCCUAAAAUGUUGGGGGGACCAGAGGGGUUAUUUUAAAUCUUGAGCGGUCAGGUACUUUUAAAAUCUAGGCGAACAGUUUCUUUGACAAUGCAGUUCCUUAAAAAUUUAAUAAACCUCUGAUCUAUUUGUUUCCAAUCGGU